AUGAACGCUGGCGGCGUGCCUAAUACAUGCAAGUCGAGCGAACAGACGAGGAGCUUGCUCCUCUGACGUUAGCGGCGGACGGGUGAGUAACACGUGGAUAACCUACCUAUAAGACUGGGAUAACUUCGGGAAACCGGAGCUAAUACCGGAUAAUAUAUUGAACCGCAUGGUUCAAUAGUGAAAGACGGUUUUGCUGUCACUUAUAGAUGGAUCCGCGCCGCAUUAGCUAGUUGGUAAGGUAACGGCUUACCAAGGCAACGAUGCGUAGCCGACCUGAGAGGGUGAUCGGCCACACUGGAACUGAGACACGGUCCAGACUCCUACGGGAGGCAGCAGUAGGGAAUCUUCCGCAAUGGGCGAAAGCCUGACGGAGCAACGCCGCGUGAGUGAUGAAGGUCUUCGGAUCGUAAAACUCCGUUAUUAGGGAAGAACAAAUGUGUAAGUAACUAUGCACGUCUUGACGGUACCUAAUCAGAAAGCCACGGCUAACUACGUG
rnacentral:rRNA from 1 species